rnacentral:rRNA from 1 species
GACGAACGCUGGCGGCGUGCUUAACACAUGCAAGUCGAACGGAAAGGCCCUGCUUGCAGGGUGCUCGAGUGGCGAACGGGUGAGUAACACGUGGGUGAUCUGCCCCUUACUUUGGGAUAAGCCUGGGAAACUGGGUCUAAUACUGGAUAGGACCAUGCUGUAGGUGGUGUGGUGGAAAGAUUAGUUUCGGUAAGGGAUGAGCUCGCGGCCUAUCAGCUUGUUGGUGGGGUAAUGGCCUACCAAGGCGUCGACGGGUAGCCGGCCUGAGAGGGUGGACGGCCACAUUGGGACUGAGAGACGGCCCAGACUCCGACGGGAGGCAGCAGUGGGGAAUAUUGCACAAUGGGCGCAAGCCUGAUGCAGCGACGCCGCGUGGGGGAUGACGGCCUUCGGGUUGUAAACUCCUUUCAGCCAUGACGAAGCCUUCGGGUGACGGUAGUGGUAGAAGAAGCACCGGCUAACUACGUG